rnacentral:lncRNA from 1 species
AUUCUAGGGUCUCCUUUCUCCUUAUUUAUUCUUGUGGCUACAUCAUCCCUGGCUGUGGAUAGUGCUUUUGUGUAGCAAAUGCUCCCUCCUUAAGGUUAUAGGGCUCCCUGAGUUUGGGAGUGUGGAAGUACUACUUAACUGUCUGUCCUGCUUGGCUGUCGUUAUCGUUUUCUGGUGAUGUUGUGCUAACAAUAAGAAGUACACGGGUUUAUUUCUGUGGCCUGAGAAGGAAGGGACCUCCACGACAGGUGGGCUGGGUGCGAUCGCCGGCU